CCUUGUCUACACUACAAAGUUGCAGCGCUGGUGAGGGGGUUACAGCGCUGCAACUUAGGAUGUGUACACAUCUGCAGGGCAUUACCAGCGCUGCAACUCCCUGUUUGCAGCGCUGGCCGUACACCCGGUCGUGCCUUGGGUGUAGAGGAUCCAGUGCUGGAUCACCAGCGCUGGUCAUCAGGUGUAGACACUCACCAGCGUUUUUGUUGACCUCCGUGGAAUAAGCAGGUAUCCCAGCAUACCUGAGGAAGCCUCUCUGGUAAUCAAGCAAACUCCACUGCUCUCCAAGCAGGUCUCCUUCCCCGCGGUGUGCUCUGGCGUUCCCCGACCCCCCCUCCAAGCAGGUCUCCUUCCCCGCGGUUUGCUCUGGCGUUCCCCGAUCCCCCCUCCAAGCAGGUCUCCUUCCCCGCGGUGUGCUCUGGCGUUCCCCGCCCCCCCCUCCAAGCAGGUCUCCUUCCCCGCGGUGUGCUCUGGCGUUCCCCGACCCCCCCUCCAAGCAGGUAUCCAGCCCCGCGGUGUGCUCUGGCGUUCCCCGACCCCCCCUCCAAGCAGGUCUCCUUCCCCGCGGUGUGCUCUGGCGUUCCCCGACCCCCCCCUCCAAGCAGGUCUCCUUCCCCGCGGUGUGCUCUGGCGUUCCCCGACCCCCCCCCUCCAAGCAGGUCUCCUUCCCCGCGGUGUGCAACAGCACUGCAGCGUGGCCACAUCUAACACCACUU